rnacentral:rRNA from 1 species
UACGAAGGGGGCUAGCGUUGCUCGGAAUCACUGGGCGUAAAGGGCGCGUAGGCGGCGUUUUAAGUCGGGGGUGAAAUCCCAGGGCUCAACCCUGGAACUGCCUUCGAUACUGGACGUCUUGAGUCCGAGAGAGGUGAGUGGAAUUCCGAGUGUAGAGGUGAAAUUCGUAGAUAUUCGGAAGAACACCAGUGGCGAAGGCGGCUCACUGGCUCGGAACUGACGCUGAGGUGCGAAAGCGUGGGGAGCAAACAGG